UACGAAGGGUGCAAGCGUUAAUCGGAAUUACUGGGCGUAAAGCGCGCGUAGGUGGUUCGUUAAGUUAGGAGUGAAAGCCCCGGGCUCAACCUGGGAAUUGCUUCUAAAACUGGCGAGCUAGAGUAUGGUAGAGGGUGGUGGAAUUUCCUGUGUAGCGGUGAAAUGCGUAGAUAUAGGAAGGAACAUCAGUGGCGAAGGCGACCACCUGGACUGAUACUGACACUGAGGUGCGAAAGCGUGGGGAGCAAACAGGAUUAGAUACCCGGGUAGUCCCUGA
rnacentral:rRNA from 1 species